AAGUAGGGAAUCUUCGGCAAUGGGGGCAACCCUGACCGAGCAACGCCGAGUGAGUGAAGAAGGUUUUCGGAUCGUAAAGCUCUGUUGCAAGACAAGAACGUGUGUGAGAGUGGAAAGUUCACACAGUGACGGUAACUUACCAGAAAGGGACGGCUAACUACGUGACAG
rnacentral:rRNA from 1 species